rnacentral:lncRNA from 1 species
GUAGAGGACCAGGGACCAGUGCAGCUAGCUUUGGCGAGGGACUGUCAGUCAAAGAGCUUCAAGUUCAAGGGGAUGUGUGUGCGCGAUGACAACUGUGCAAGUGUUUGCCUGCUCGAGGGUUUCACCGGAGGCAAGUGCAAGGGCUUUUGGCAUCGUUGUUACUGCACCAAGGACUGCUAGAUGGCCCUGAUUUGUCUAUUGCAUAUAUGCUUCCGUCUAAUAACUGAUAAUAACCGAAUAAUAGAUCUAUAUCUAUGUAUCUAUGCGUGCCUCUAUGAGUGAUGCUCGUCUGAGAUUCGUGAACUAAUACAAGUAAACGAGCACGCUAGGACGCCUCUCGAGCUAUCUACGAUAGAGAUGUCGCAUGGAUAGAAUGAGCCAUGAAAGAGCGAAGUAUAGUGCUGUGAACCCAGAAAAAGACAAGGCUUAGCUAGCAAGUCAUUGCAUCAUAUGAUAACCAGAACAAAGCUUGACGGAUGUAUGAUCUGAAGAAAGGUAGAGACUCGAGGGAUCCAUAUUUGAUCAUCUCAAUGUAGAUAGAUAAUCUAUAAUUCUUUCGCUCAACUCCUUCCUUUAUAUCAACAACUAGCGACCUUCGAACAACCUAGCUUUGAUAUCACUUGCUAGAAUAAUUUGAGUUGCAUCGUCGAUCAUCUAAGGACCAAGCAAUCAUACACGACAGAACACCAAGACUUGUUAACGAGAUUCACUGAACAUGGCUACAUCCUCAGAACAUGACCGCAUGUGCUCCUCUCCGUGACACCGUUAAAAUACCGCACACCGGCCACCAGGGCGCCGACAAACAUGCCGGCUCCCCCUAUGUGCACGUGCUAUUAUGUUAGCAUAGAUUAUAUCAUGUGUCUACCCUCACAUUAUAUAAGAGACAUAGGAUGCAAGUGUCAUAUUAGGACAAGACUCGGUACCUUAUCUACACACCAUAUGAUUUAGAGUCCAAUUGUAACCUAUCUUGUAUAAAAUAUUCGACACAACUCUAACAAAUAUAAGUAAGUAUCAGUUUUGCUAAAGCACAUCUAGAUAUGCUAUAAGUAUUGCACAUCUAAGUUCUAUAUCAUUGGUUUUACACUAAGAUUCGUGCAAGCAUUCUCUUUUGUCUUUUUCCCUUUUUCUUUCUAGUUUGAUUGAGCACUUAGAUGUGCAAUAAUUAGGGCACAUUUAGAUGUGCUCUAGACAGACCUAGUAAGUAUAGAUAGAUAUAAAUAUAUAAAUAUAGAUAUAGGUAGUUAUAAAUAUAGAAGUAUAGAUAUUGAUAUGGAUAUGGAUAUCAAUAUAAAUAGAUACAUGUGUUAUGUGAGCGCAUAUGUAGUUGUGGGGUGUUACACAAACAUUCAAAACAACGAGAAUCAACAACGAAUUCACCAUGCUAUUUAACUCCCAUGCCAAGAGGACUUGAAGAGCAUGAGAGUUCAUCAUUAACCUUAAGUGGGUCUAGUUGUUGCCACGUGGGUAUGACAUGGCCGCUCUUUAUAUUUUCACAUAUAUAUAUAUUUUUCUGACAACCUUUAUAUUUUCACAUGUCAGUUACAUUGCCCUUGAAUUUUUUUUUUGUGGGCGGUCAAUUACACUACCCUACAAAAGCUGGUAAUUUGUUAGGCUACCAUACAAAAGUUGGUACUUAGUUACACUACCCUACAAAAAUUUGUUCGCUUAGACUCGAAGCAAGAGAGAAAUCUAUGCGUUGAUGCAAGUAUAUAACAAGCCCCCUCCCUCCUGUACAUCCAGCUAUCAUACAGUUCAUCUUGAAGGUCUUAAUCUGUCAUACAAUCCUCUUAGUCUUCAGAUAAGAAAUUUCAUGGAUCUCUCCAUGAAAGUCUUUGUGGUCGUCCUCCUGCUUCUUGUGGCCACUGGUAUGUACGCCAUUAUUUGAGAUAAUUCACAAUACUGCUAAAAUUACAUAUGUGAGAUGACUGAUUUGCUUUAUUAAUUUUGCCCCGUGCAUGUAGAGGACCAGGGACCAGUGCAAGUAGCUUUGGCGAGGGACUGCAAGUCACAGAGCUACAAGUUCAAGGGGAUGUGCGUGCGCGAUGACAAUUGUGCAAGUGUUUGCCUGACCGAGGGUUUCCCCAGAGGCAAGUGCAAGGGCUUUGCAUGUUCCUGCCACAAGGAUUGCUAGAUGGCCCUGAUUUGUCUAUUGCAUACAUGCUUUUGUGUAAUAACUACUGAAUAAAUAAUAGUAGAUCUAUAUCUAUGUAUGUGUGUAUGCAAGCAUAUGCAUUUGUGACUGAUGCUCGUCUGAGAUUCAUGAACGGUUACAAGUAAAUGAGCACGCCAGGACGCCUCUUUUUUUUUUUCUUUUUUUUUUGCUGGAACGCCAGGACGCCUCUCAAGCUACCCACAAUAGAGAAGUCGUGCGGAUAGA